UGCAAAUUUCUGACGAAGGAGAGACACUGUGACCAACAUUUAUCUAGGAAAAGUCCUUGCAGCAACGAGAACUGGAAGAACCAGGCGUUUAUUUUUAGCACGUCAGUUGUAUACUAUCCAGUUUUAUUUUCACUGGCCGAUUUACAAUAAACUUUAAUUAAUUUGGUUAUAUCAAUGAACGACUAAUUAGUUAACAAAGCUUGAAAAAUUACUAUAUCUAGAUCUAGUGGACAGAACUCAUGUACGACCUUCGCACAACGUCAAAAACGUACGUACGUAAGCAAAACUGAAACGUGCCAGCAGCCUGUACCACUCAUUGAAAUGAAUAUAACUGGAACGCUAACUCAAACCGGAUAUUUGAAGCCAAACCAUUCUCGUACCCAGAGCCCUUCUUACGCGCGGUCAUUCUCAUACCCAGAGCCAUUCUUACGCGCGGUGCGACGAGGGGCUCUGGCCAAAUUCAUAUCCGAACGGGCAUCUGAUUGGCUAGUUCUAACCCCGGAUAUUGUUUUCUUACCAUGUUUUUAUGGUACCCGAGUUAUGGAUUUGGCCAGAUCCCCUCGCCGCACCGCGCGUAAGAAGGGCUCUGGGUACGAGAAUGACGCGCGGUGCGACGAGAGGCUCUGGCCAAAUCCAAAACCGGAUACCAUAAAAACAUGGAAAAAGAAUAUAUCCGGUAUUAGAACAAUAACCUUCGUUGCAGCCAAUCAGAUGCCAGUUUGAUAUGGAUUUGGCCAGAGCCCCUCGUCGCGCCCCGUUGACCGCGCCGUAAGAAGGGCUCUGGGUACAAGAAUGAAGCCAAACUUGAAGGCCAGUGCCAGUCUUUUCAUGCAUGCGAAGAGCGCACAAUCAGUCAAACACGUGUAUCCUCACCCUCAGACAGAUUUCGCUUCAGGAAAAUGAUAGGCGAUUUAUCAGAAGGUAGCGUUACAGUUACAUUAAUUUCAAUAGUACCGGCCAUUCGGUCACAACCAGUGAACUCUAAUAAGACUGGAACGAUAACUGUAGGUUAACAUUCCCAUACUUGCCUGAAGCCAACCAUGCGAGGAAAUUGCACUUUUAAAAGGACUAAGGAGAGUUUCGAGGAGUGGGAAAUUUAGUCAAAGUUUAUUUUCGACGAAAAUGAGCAAGAAAAGUCGUUUUUCAUCAAAAGACUUCAAUUUUAAAACCCAAAUACGAUCGAUUUGAUAGUUAGAACUGCUUUGCAUCUCACAACAGCGAAAGUUUGAAAGGUAUCAUGUUUGUUUUGAUAAAAACGACACUAGUUGAACGUGCUGAAGUCCACUUUGCUCUUUAACUUAAAAAAACAACCUUUAAAACAUAAAUCCACCGACCAAUACCUUUUUUGUAUUAAAAGCUAGGUAUAGUUGUUUAUUUUGAGUGCUUUUUGACAUCUCUAAAACGUGAAUAAAUCGAUUUUUCCGUAGAAACACCCCGUGAUUUGCGAUUUGUGAUUUGGCGCCCGGGAGCAGUUCGCACGCUCUGAUAUGACUUUCAAAAAAGAACUGGAGAGAGAUCAAUUUCCUCGUAACUUUUUUUUUAGCAAAAAUACGCCGAAAAAUUAGGUUUUUCGUCCGAAGACUUAGCUUCAAUUUCAAAGAUCUAAACUUGGUUUUCUGGAUAGUUCUAAGUAUUCUGCAUCAACUAGCUGCAAAAACGUUCGGUAUCAGCUUUAUAUUUGAAAUAUUUAACAAAUUUGAGCGUGCCGAAGAAAACUUCGCUCUUCAAGUCACAAAAAUAUAAGGUUUAAAUCUCUCUACGUUUACGAAACUUGUUUUGGAGUAAAGUUCAAGUAUUGUUGUUUGUUUUGAGUGUUUAUUCUUGUUCAAAUCAAGCUGUUUUUAAAAAAAAAAUCGGCGUUCUUUUGAUGAUGUAAUUUCGGACUUUGGCCUUCAUGGCAGCCUUCAAUUUGCCUUCAAAGAUGGCGACCGAGUUAUCGUUCCAAUCUUAUAAGAGUUCACUGGUCACAACCGGCUCCAUAAAUUUGUGUAUGCAUCUUAAAUUUGCUUAUAUAUACAUGAAUAAUUAAAAAUGUUAGUAUAAAUUAUUGAAUAUAAAUUUUGAUGAAAAUUGUUUGCGACUGGAUAGCAGAAUAUUAUUCAAACAUCAGUCCUCUGGCUCGCAUUUGACUGCUGUUGCCCAGCCACGGUUCAUCCGAUUUAGCGUCUUCUCUGAACAGAGGAUUAACAUUCAUAGUUUUCAAUUCUUGGUUAAUGAAUCCGGCAGAUGUGGACACAGAUUUGUUUGACCUUACGCUUUUGAUGCUCCCUGUAUGGAACAAUGGUGUUACUCUGCCUCGCUCAUGACUUGAAACAGAACUA
rnacentral:lncRNA from 1 species